UAAUACGGAGGAUGCAAGCGUUAUCCGGAUUCAUUGGGUUUAAAGGGUUCGCAGGCGGCAUAUUAAGUCAGUGGUGAAAUGCCUCCGCUCAACGGAGGAACUGCCAUUGAUACUGGUAUGCUAGAGUAUAGUUGGCGUAGGCGGAAUAUUUCAUGUAGCGGUGAAAUGCUUAGAUAUGAAAUAGAACACCGAUCGCGAAGGCAGCUUACGAAGCUAUAACUGACGCUCAUGAACGAAAGCGUGGGGAUCAAACAGGAUUAGAUACCCUGGUAGUCCACGCUGUAAACGAUGAUUACUCGUUGUCGGCGAUAUACAGUCGGUGGCUAAGCGAAAGUGAUAAGUAAUCCACCUGGGGAGUACGAUCGCAAGGUUGAAACUUAAAGGAAUUGACGG
rnacentral:rRNA from 1 species